rnacentral:rRNA from 1 species
UACAGAGGGGGCAAGCGUUGUUCGGGAUUACUGGGCGUAAAGGGCGCGUAGGCGGCCUGUUAAGUCGGACGUGAAAUCCCUCGGCUCAACCGGAGAACUGCGUCCGAUACUGGCGGGCUUGAAUUCGGGAGAGGGAUGUGGAAUUCCAGGUGUAGCGGUGAAAUGCGCAGAUAUCAGGAGGAACACCGAUGGCGAAGGCAGGUCUCUGGGCAUUAACUGACGCUGAGGAGCGAAAGCAUGGGGAGCGAACAGG